CUCUCCGUAGUUUAGCGUGGUUUAGAGCGUCAGACUGUAAUUAACUCUAGGAUAAGUGCAAAUCUGAAAGUCGGGCGUUCGACUCGCCCCGGGGAGA
rfam:Kwoniella mangroviensis CBS 10435 unplaced genomic scaffold supercont2.1, whole genome shotgun sequence.